AAUAACAGUACACAGAGCUGGUGACAGUCGCUAGGUGGCGACAGACGCGUGCUGAUUGGGUAACUUCUCCUAACGAUGACCAGGUGAGGUGAAUUUAGGUGAGGCGAGAUGACAGCCUGCUCCCUUAUUUAUUGCGCUUUCCGAGCCGGAGCUUUUGUGGUUUGCUGUUCUGCUGUGCCAUAAUGUGUGUCACGAGCCUCCCUCUUUUCGCCAUCCUGCUUGCUGUUCUCUCUCACUCGUUCGGUACUCCGGCGCCGCACGAGUACCGAAGAGACACAGGAGUCGUCCUGAUGCAAGCUGAUAAUCCGGAUCCAGUUUUCCAUACUUCACUUCACCCCGUGAAAGCUAUGCUGUUGGAUAGAGAUGACUUUGAAAUUUCAGGCUCUGGAGUAGGAACGUCAAGUUGAAACACGAUAGGGGGAAAAGACUUCAAGAUGGGAGAAUUUGUGCUUUGUCAUCUCAGUGACCCGGAAAGGAGCACUGGGGCAUAUUCCAUCUCCUCCAUGUUGCCACACAUCAUCUGUGCAUGAGUUCAUGGGUGAUUUCUUGGCUGAAUGUAUGGCUCUGAAUAAAAUGUCAAAUUUC